UGGGGAAUCUUGCGCAAUGGACGAAAGUCUGACGCAGCGACGCCGCGUGGGUGAUGAAGGCCUUCGGGUUGUAAAGCCCUGUGGGGAGGGACGAAUAAGUCUGACCUAAUACGUCAGGUGAUGACGGUACCUCUUUAGCAAGCACCGGCUAACUCUGUGCCAGCAGCCGCGGUAAGACAGAGGGUGCAAACGUUGUUCGGAAUUACUGGGCGUAAAGCGCGUGUAGGCGGUCUCGCAAGUCGGGUGUGAAAGCCCAGGGCUCAACCCUGGAAGUGCAUUCGAUACUGCGAGGCUAGAGUCCCGGAGAGGAUGGUGGAACUCUCGGUGUAGAGGUGAAAUUCGUAGAUAUCGAGAAGAACACCGGUGGCGAAGGCGGCCAUCUGGACGGUGACUGACGCUGAGACGCGAAAGCGUGGGGAGCAAACAG
rnacentral:rRNA from 1 species